rnacentral:rRNA from 1 species
AACGAACGCUGGCGGCAUGCCUAACACAUGCAAGUCGAACGAGACCUUCGGGUCUAGUGGCGCACGGGUGCGUAACGCGUGGGAACCUGCCCUUAGGUUCGGAAUAACUCCCCGAAAGGGGUGCUAAUACCGGAUAAUGUCUUCGGACCAAAGAUUUAUCGCCUUUGGUUGGGCCCGCGUUGGAUUAGCUAGUUGGUAGGGUAAAAGCCUACCAAGGCGACGAUCCAUAGCUGGUCUGAGAGGAUGAUCAGCCACACUGGGACUGAGACACGGCCCAGACUCCUACGGGAGGCAGCAGUGGGGAAUAUUGGACAAUGGGCGGAAGCCUGAUCCAGCAAUGCCGCGUGAGUGAUGAAGGCCUUAGGGUUGUAAAGCUCUUUUACCCGGGAUGAUAAUGACAGUACCGGGAGAAUAAGCUCCGGCUAACUCCGUG